rnacentral:rRNA from 1 species
AGAGUUUGAUUAUGGCUCAGGAUGAACGCUGGCGGCGUGCUUAACACAUGCAAGUCGAACGAGGUCCAACCUUCGGGUGAAGACCGAGUGGCGAACGGGUGAGUAACACGUGGGGAACCUGCCCUUCUCUCUGGGAUAACCUCGGGAAACCGAAGCUAAUACCGGAUACUCCUUGCGGACCGCAUGGUCUGCUCGGGAAAGCUCCGGCGGAGAAGGAUGGCCCCGCGGCCCAUUAGCUUGUUGGUGGGGUAACGGCCCACCAAGGCGACGAUGGGUAGCCGAGCUGAGAGGCUGAUCGGCCACACUGGGACUGAGACACGGCCCAGACUCCUACGGGAGGCAGCAGUGGGGAAUCUUGCGCAAUGGGCGAAAGCCUGACGCAGCAACGCCGCGUGCGGGAUGAAGGCUCUCGGGUCGUAAACCGCUUUCAGCAGGGAUGAAAAUGACAGUACCUGCAGAAGAAGCCCCGGCUAAAUACGUGCCAGCAGCCGCGGUAAUACGUAUGGGGCAAGCGUUAUCCGGAUUCAUUGGGCGUAAAGCGCGCGUAGGCGGCUUGUUAAGUCAGGCGUGAAAUCCGGGGGCUCAACCCGCGGCUUGCGUCUGAAACUGGCAGGCUUGAGUCUGGUAGAGGAAAGUGGAAUUCCUGGUGUAGCGGUGAAAUGCGCAGAUAUCAGGAGGAACACCAGUGGCGAAGGCGGCUUUCUGGGCCACGACUGACGCUGAGGCGCGAAAGCUAGGGGAGCGAACAGGAUUAGAUACCCUGGUAGUCAAGGGCGAUCCC